CUGCCGCUCGCUUGUCUUCAUCCUCCACACCGCGGUAGAUGGGGGCCUUUGCACCCCAACCCCGCUUGGGGGAUGGAGGACGCAGCCUCCGGGCUCCAGGAGCCGCCGCUGCCCGCGGGGUCCGCCUAACGGUCAGGGGCGAGCAGGCUGAGCCAGCGGCAGCAGCAGACGCCCCCUCGCGGUCGGAAGCUGGCGGCGGGCGCUGGGCGCGGGACCUUUCCGUUAAGUGCGCGUGGAGCGCGGGGUUGCACUCGCGUGACUCCCGGGCGCUCGAGCCUCUGCUGGCAUCCCAGACGCCAAAGCCGUCGUAGAACCUUUGAGCCUGCAGUGUCCACGCCUGGCCCCUGUCCCCGGCCCGCGCUGCCCCCAUGGGCCACCGGUAAGGUGCUGGCCGACCUGCUGGGGUCUUUCUGCACAGUUGACGUGGGGCCGAGUCGGCUGCCCCUUCCCUCCGGGGAUCGCGGGGCCUUCCUCUCUGCGGGCAGGUUCCCGGUUACAACUUGCGGUUUCAAUCUCAUCUGAGUUGAAGUCCUCACCAGACGUUCGCUAGCUGAGGUGUUGUUGGCAGGACAUUUUGCCAUCUGUCCAGAUCUAGAAAAACUGGUGCUAAAAUUCAUAUGGAAACACAAGAGACCCCGAGUAAUUAAAGCAAUCUUAAACAACAAAAACAAAGCUGGAGGCAUCACAAUACCAGACCUCAAGACAUACUACAGGGCAGUUAUAAUCAAAACAGCCUGAUACUGGCACAAAAAACAGACAUGCAGUAGAGCAGAACAGAAACCCCAGAAAUAAAUCCAUGCAUCUACAACCAACUUACCUUUGUCAAAGGAGCCAAGACAGUAUCUUCAAUAAAUGAUGCUGGGAAAAUUGGAUCUCCAUAUGCAGAAGUAUGAAACAAGACCCCUACUUCACACCUUACACAAAAACCCACUUAAAAUGGAUCAGAGACCUAAAUCUAUGAUGUGAUACCAUCAGAUUAUUAGAGAACAUUGGGGAAACCCUACAAGAUAUUAGCAUAGGGAAAAACUUCUUGGAAAAGACCCCAGUAGCACAGGCAAUCAAAGUCAAAAUUAUCAAGUAGAAUUACAUCAAACUGAGAAGCUUCUACACUGCAAAAGAAACACUCAGCAAAGAGAAGAGGCAACUGACAGAGUGGGGGAAAUAUUUGCCAACAGUGCAACUGACAAAGGAUUAACUUCCAGGAUCUAAAAAGAGCUCAGUAAACUCAACAACAGAACAAACAAUCCAAUUAAGAAAUGGGCAAAGGAACUAAACAGACAUUUUUUCAAGAGAGGAAAUUCAAACAUCUAAUAGACACAUGAAAAAAUUCUCAGGAUUGUUAGCCAUCAGGGAAAUGCAAAUCAAAACCAUAAUGAAGUUUCACUUCACCUCCAUUAGAAUGACUCCCAUAUAGAAAUCAGCAAAGAACAAAUGCUGGCGAGGAUGUGGGAAGAAGGGUACCUUAACCCACUGUUGGUGGGAAUGUAAACUGGUAAAGCUGCUGUCGAAGACAUGUGUGGAACAUAUCCGAAAGCUGAAUAUAGACCUACCAUACAACCCAGCCAUACCACUCCAGGGAAUUUAUUCAAAGGAAAUGAAAUCAGUAUGAAAGAAUUAUCUGUACCCCGUGUUCAUUUCAGCUCAAUUUACAAUAGCUAGGAUAUGGAAUCAACCCAGAAAUCCAUUAACUGAAGACUGGAUAAAGAAAGUAUGGUAUAAAUACAAUGUGGAAUACUACAGUGGUAACAAAAUGAAAUCCUGACAUUUGCAAUAACAUGGAUGCAAGUGCAAACCAUUAUACUUAGUGAAAUAAGCCAGUCAUAAAAGGACAAAUACCAUAUGGUCUCUCUGAUCUGUGUUAACUAAUGUAGUACUUAAAAUAUAAUCUAUAGAAGCGAAACUGCCAUUUUGAGAUGUGAUAAUUUUGAACAGCCCUUGCCUUGACUGUUGGGGAGCAAUGGUUUUCUUGUUUGUUUCUGUUUUUUUUUUUUUUUUUCAUGCUAAUUGGUGAACUCUCUACUUGGUGUAGGGUUAAUCUCAUGAAUAUAAAAAUUAACUGAAAAUUUAUCCCUGUAAAAAAUAAGAAUGGGAAAGGAAGAGGGAGAAAGAAGAAAGCCAGGUAUAUGGGUAGGAGGGAGGUAGAGGGGGGAUAAAGCAUCAUGUUCUCAAAAUUGUAUAUAUUAAAUCAUGAAGUUGUAUUCCUUAAACAAAAUAAAGAAAAUAUUUCUUAAUACAAGUUCAGUAAAUGUUCAACCUAGAAACAAUCAUAUAAACAUUAUAUUUAAGUAAUUGGUAUUAAAAUAAUAGGAGAUACUAUGAUAAGAACAAAAUUAAUAAAAUACAAAGUAACAACAAUUUAGGAUCAAAGAAGUGAAAAUUUAGUUCUUUGACAUUCCUAAGAUAGUCUUUCAAGAUUCAUCAAGAGGGAAGACCCAAAUAAUUUGUUUUGUGUCAGAUGUGGCAUGACUGCACAAGCUUUUAUAACACAUAUUUUCAUAUUUUAUAUAUCUCUUAUAGUUUUGCUUUGUUAUUUAACUUUUUUUAUGAACUGGAGGACUCAUGCACACUGUUUCAUAUUAUAGGUACGUUUGGGCCCCAUUCUACCACCCUAUCUCAUUCCUUUCAUAUGUAUAUGUAUAUGUAUAUGUAUAUGUAUAUGUAUAUGUAUAUGUAUGAGACAUUACUAUUUAGUGCUUCCCAGAAGGCUGGUUAUAAAAGCCUGAGUCAGGUUCUGUUAUUCUUUGAUUUGUGGCUUGCAAUGUGGCUCUUCGUCUGCACAUACUCCAUCAGUCCCAUCCAUUGCACUCAUAUAGGUCAAAACAGUGGGGCUGUCUGAUAUUAGAUCCAAGCCUCUAAAACUCUGUGCCAAAUAUUUUCUUUUAUAACCUUAGCUAACAUGAGUAUUUCAUUAUAGUAGAAAAAAGCUGACUAAGCUUGUAUGAUAAAUUUCAGCUUAAUUUUUGUUAAUGUGAAACACAUUUUAAUAUCUACUAGGUUAAGAAGCUGUUCUUAAAAAAAACUUACUGGGUCUACUUAGGUCUUUAAUCUGCUAGGUAAAAUUAGGUGUAUUUAUUUUUAAUUAAUAUAUUCUGUUGAGAUUUGGCUAGUUCACUUUAAUUGUGUAAUUUACUUUCAAAAUAGCUUCCAUAUCUAUAGAAUUAUUUAUUUGAUCUGAAAUACGUGUUUCUACCUCUUACUUCCAUGCAAUGAAAUGCUAUGGGGGCCUGCGCCGCGGCUCAAUAGGCUAAUCCUCUGCCUAGCGGCGCCAGCACACCGGGUUCUAGUCCCGGUCGGGGCGCUGGAUUCUGUCCCGGUUGCCCCUCUUCCAGGGCAGCUCUCUGCUGUGACCCGGGAGUGCAGUGGAGGAUGGCCCAAGUGCUUGGGCCCUGCAGCCCAUGGGAGACCAGGAUAAGUACCUGGCUCCUGGCUUCGGAUCAGCGUGGUGCGCCGGCUGCAAGCGUUGGCCGUGGCGGCCAUUGGAGGGUGAACCAACGGCAAAGGAAGACCUUUCUCUCUGUCUCUCUCUCUCUCACUGUCCACUCUGCCUGUAAAAAAAAAAAGAAAGAAAAAAAAAGAAAUGCUAUGGGUGUUUUUGAGUCCCAUAUGUAUAUUUGUUCAAAAUGUGUCUUUUUUGUCUAUAUUUUGGAUUAUAUCUUCUUACUCGUGUUUUCUAAGUGAUUCCAUGAUAAAUUAGAAGCUACUGUAAUUAUUAAUUGGAAUUACCCUGACUACUAGUGAGGUUAUGCAACUCCAUUUGUUUUUUUCUAUAUUUUUUACUGUAUUUUUUAUGAGUUAUCUCUAGUCUAUGCCAGCUUUUUUUUUUUUUUUUUUUGACAGGCAGAGUGGACAGUGAGAGAGACAGAGAGAAAGGUCUUCCUUUGCCAUUGGUUCACCCUCCAAUGGCCGCCGCGGCCGGCGCACCGCACUGAUCCGAUGGUAGGAGCCAAGUACUUAUCCUGGUCUCCCAUGGGGUGCAGGGCCCAAGGACUUGGGCCAUGCUCCACUGCAC